rnacentral:rRNA from 1 species
UGGGGAAUAUUGGACAAUGGGGGCAACCCUGAUCCAGCCAUGCCGCGUGAGUGAUGAAGGCCUUCGGGUUGUAAAGCUCUUUUGGCGGGGACGAUGAUGACGGUACCCGCAGAAUAAGCCCCGGCUAACUUCGUGCCAGCAGCCGCGGUAAGACGAAGGGGGCUAGCGUUGUUCGGAAUUACUGGGCGUAAAGCGAGUGUAGGUGGUUGUCGUAGUCAGGCGUGAAAGCCUUGAGCUCAACUCAAGAAAUGCGCUUGAUACUGGGCAGCUAGAGGACCAGAGAGGAUAGUGGAAUUCCCAGUGUAGUGGUGAAAUACGUAGAGAUUGGGAAGAACACCAGUGGCGAAGGCGGCUAUCUGGACGGUUUCUGACACUAAGACUCGAAAGCGUGGGGAGCAAACAGGAUUAGAUACCCUGGUAGUCCACGCCGUAAACGAUGGGUGCUAGACGUUGGCGAGCUUGCUCGUCAGUGUCGCAGCUAACGCGUUAAGC